AACGAGUUUACCGGAUUGACGAACAACUUCUUGAAAAUUGAAAAUCGUUGAAAUUGAACACUUGAAAACUUCAAUUCAACAACUUCACAAUGUUUCACCAAUUUGCAACAAUAAAUUAAGCACUUGCACUAGAAAGAUUGAAAGAGAGCUUGAGAGAGAUUGAGAUAGAUUGAGAGAUAUUGAUGAAUUGGUGAAUAAAAAUGAAAGAAUGAUGGGGUAUUUAUAGUUGAGAAAUGCAAAAUAGUGUAAUUAUAUAAAGUUUGGGGUUAAAUUAAAGUUUGGGGGCCAAGUGGCUAUUUUUAAACUUUCAAACGGCUAGUUUUGAAAAAG
rnacentral:lncRNA from 1 species